rnacentral:rRNA from 1 species
GACCGAGGGUGCGAACGUUGUUCGGAAUUACUGGGCGUAAAGCGCAUGUAGGCGGCAGCGCAAGUCGGGCGUGAAAUCCCCCGGCUCAACCGUGGAAGUGCACUCGAAACUGCGCAGCUAGAGUCCUGGAGAGGAAGGUGGAAUGCUUGGUGUAGAGGUGAAAUUCGUAGAUAUCAAGCGGAACACCGGUGGCGAAGGCGGCCUUCUGGACAGUGACUGACGCUGAGAUGCGAAAGCGUGGGGAGCAAACAGG